rnacentral:rRNA from 1 species
GUGAGGAAUAUUGCGCAAUGGAGGCAACUCUGACGCAGCCAUGCCGCGUGCAGGAAGAAGGCGCUACGCGUUGUAAACUGCUUUUAACCGGGAAGAAACCCCAGGACGUGUCCUGGGUUGACGGUACCGGAGGAAUAAGCACCGGCUAACUUCGUGCCAGCAGCCGCGGUAAUACGAAGGGUGCAAGCGUUAUCCGGAUUCAUUGGGUGUAAAGGGUGCGUAGGCGGAGCGUUAAGUCAGUGGUGAAAUCCUGCAGCGUAACGGUAGAGUUGCCAUUGAUACUGGCGCUCUUGAGUGCGCUUGAAGUGGGCGGAAUGUGCCGUGUAGCGGUGAAAUGCUUAGAUAUGGCACAGAACACCAAUUGCGAAGGCAGCUCACUAAGGCGAUACUGACGCUGAGGCACGAAAGCGUGGGGAUCGAACAGGAUUAGAUACCCUAGUAGUCC